rnacentral:rRNA from 1 species
UAUUGGUCAAUGGCCGGAAGGCUGAACCAGCCAAGCCGCGUGAGGGAGGAAGGCGCAGAGCGUCGCAGACCUCUUUUGCCGGGGGACAAAAGGCCGGACGUGUCCGGUCCUGAGGGUACCCGGAGAAAAAGCAUCGGCUAACUCCGUGCCAGCCGCCGCGGUAAUACGGAGGAUGCGGGCGUUAUCCGGAUUUAGUGGGUUUAAAGGGUGGGUAGGCGGGCUUUUAAGUCAGCGGUAAAAAUUCGGGGCUCAACCCCGUCCGGCCGUUGAAACUGGGGGCCUUGAGUGGGCGAGAAGAAGGCGGAAUGCGUGGUGUAGCGGUGAAAUGCAUAGAUAUCACGCAGAACCCCGAUUGCGAAGGCAGCCUUCCGGCGCCCUACUGACGCUGAGGCACGAAAGUGCGGGGAUCGAACAGG